UAUUUGUGUAUAAUUUUUACUGUAAAAUAAGUAUUAUUGAUACACUUAUAGAGGUUAAAUGCUAUUCGAUUUUAAAUAUAUCUAGUUUUUUAAGAAAAAAAUUUAAUUUUAUUUUUAUUUAAUUAUAAAGUUUAUUUUUCAAUUUUAUAAUAGUAAAAUUUUAUUUUUUAAGGGAUGAGCUUUAAAAAAUAUUAAUAUAAUUUAUUAACUCUUUUUUAUUAAGUGGGAUUAACAGUGUCUCAUCUUUAAAAGUGUUUUAUAACAGUCUAAAAUAUCUAUAAAAUUUAUAUGUGUGACAAAUUUAUUUUUUUUAUUAAAAUUUAAAUCUUAAUCUUUAAGAUUUAGCGAUUAUGAUAAAAUUAGUAUAAUAUGUUGUAAAGAGUUUCCUAUCCAUUAAAGGUUAAAUAAAGGAAUUCGGCAAAAAUAUUUUUCACCUGUUUAAUAAAAACAUGUCCUUUCGAUUAUAAUUUAAGGUCUAGCCUGCUCUAUGAUGUAAUAAUUAAAUGGCCGCGGUAUUUUGACCGUGCAAAGGUAGCAUAGUCAGUAGUUUUUUAAUUGAAAGCUAGUAUGAAAGGCUGAAUGAGGAAAUAACUGUCUCUAUUUAAAUUUUUUAGAAAUUUAUUUUUAAGUAAAAAAGCUUAAAUGUGUAUCGUAGACGAGAAGACCCUAUAGAGUUUUAUAAAUUUAUUAGUUAGGUGUUUUAGAAUUAUAAAAUUUAAUAGUCAGAUUUAUUUAAUUGGGGUGAUUGAAAAAUUUAGUUAACUUUUUUUUCUAUAAAAACAUUUAUUUAUGAAAAAUUGAUCCUUUUAUUAAGAUUAAAAGAUUAAAUUACCUUAGGGAUAACAGCGUAAUUUUUUUUAAGAGUCCGUAUCAAAAAAAAAGGUUGCGACCUCGAUGUUGGAUUAAAAUUUAUUUUUGGCGUAGAAGCUAAAAUAUUAGGUCUGUUCG
rnacentral:rRNA from 1 species